GCCGGAGCCUGGAACAUGUGAGGAGCUAUUUUGGUCAGAAUCCUGGGACAUGGGGAACAGAAGCUGACACAGGAUAUGUUAAGCAAACAAACAAAUGUAUUAGAAGAAUCUAGAAUAGCUCAUAGUAAAGAAGAAAAAGUUGAAGAAUCUAAGUUCUUAAAAGAAAAAAACAAUCGAAGAUAGGCUAGGAAUUUAGCUUGGAGGAAUCGUGCAGAUUCCUCUGUUCCGAGGCAACUAGGGUGAAAUUAUUGGAUCCAUUUUGCUUCUGUGUCACUGCUCUGGACACUGGGAUUCCAGGUCAAGACUAUCUGACAGGUCAAGCUUCAGCCAGCAGCUUCAUUAGCAGGAAGAGAUUCGGUGCUGUACUGGGGAGCUAGCUACACAGAAGUAGUCCUAAGCGUGGUCAACUCAACAUCUCCAGCUCAGCCUCUUCCAGUUCGCUAUCUUCCAAAUUCUGAAUCCGCUUGCUGGACAUCUCCUCACCAGGACUCCCCGUGGAUGUCAUCUGAAAUCCAGGGAGGUUUUUAAAAGUGCCCGGGAUCACAAAGCUAGUAAUUGCAUACUUGACAGAAAUGCCUCGGAGUCAACUCCUGCUGUGCCACCGGCUUUAGGCAUUUUCAAUUUAAGGAAGCAACCAUUAGGAUAUUUUCAAUGAUGAGAAGAACGCCAUUAAGCUGCCACAAAUGUCAAAAGUUCCUGGCUCUGUUGACACUUAUGUAAUUGUUCUGGAAACCCCCACGCAGCGGAAUAGACCUACAAUACCAGGUAUGACGCACUGAAUAUGUCUAUGCGCACACUCGCUCUGAAGCAUCCUCCAGGGAGAUUUUUUUAUUUUUAUUUUCCUUAGAAAAAAUAAUAAAAGAAAAACUAAGGGGCG
rnacentral:lncRNA from 1 species